AGGCAGAUCUUCCAGAACACUGACAAUUCCCUGUAAAAUAUUACAUGUACUGCAUACCAAGCUUGUCAUUCUGCAUUAAAUGAAUGCAUUGGUAAUAUGGAAAGAUCGUGUUAAACUCUCCAGUGAGUCCAAGAUAAAUUGGGAAAAUGUUCAGGAAGAGAGACCAUCUCAGUUCAGGCAGCCAGUUGGCUUGAGCCUUGGAUACAGGGGAAAGCCUAUCUGCAACUGAAGAAUUUCCUUAGCAGCAGAAAUGGUGGCGGAGACGUAAUCCAGCUGGAACAAUACACUGAAAACUACACAAGGACAUGAGACAACACUGGAGGGACAAAGAAACUUCUGGCCCUUGUAGCCAAGAAAUGCCUCCACUCCUCCAGUUGUUUGUAUAUUUUUUGUGCCAUGGAUUCAAGACAUGUGGCCAAGUACCCUGAAG